AUUGAACGCUGGCGGCAGGCCUAACACAUGCAAGUCGAACGAGUGGCGGACGGGUGAGUAAUGUCUGGGAAACUGCCUGAUGGAGGGGGAUAACUACUGGAAACGGUGGCUAAUACCGCAUACCAUCAGAUGUACCCAGAUGGGAUUAGCUAGUUGGUGGGGUAACGGCUCACCAAGGCGACGAUCCCUAGCUGGUCUGAGAGGAUGACCAGCCACACUGGAACUGAGACACGGUCCAGACUCCUACGGGAGGCAGCAGUGGGGAAUAUUGCACAAUGGGAGCAAGCCUGACGCAGCCAUGCCGCGUGUAUGAAGAAGGCCUUCGGGUUGUAAAGGUCUUUCAGCGGGGAGGCGUUACCCGCAGAAGAAGCACCGGCUAACUCCGUGCCAGCCGCCGCGGUAAUAC
rnacentral:rRNA from 1 species